rfam:Cricetulus griseus cell line CHO-K1, whole genome shotgun sequence.
GUCUACAGCCAUACCACCCUGAAUGUGCCCAAUCUCGUCUGAUCAUGGAAGCUAAGCAGGGUUGAACUUGGUUAGUACUUGGAUGGGAGAAAGUACACCCCAAAACAGAGCCUUUUCCUCUAAUUC